rnacentral:rRNA from 1 species
UACGUAGGUGGCAAGCGUUGUUCGGAAUUACUGGGCGUAAAGGGCGCGUAGGCGGCCUGCUAAGUCGAACGUGAAAUCCCUGGGCUCAACCCAGGAACUGCGUCCGAUACUGGUUGGCUUGAAUCCGGGAGAGGGACGUGGAAUUCCAGGUGUAGCGGUGAAAUGCGUAGAUAUCUGGAGGAACACCGGUGGCGAAGGCGACGUCCUGGACCGGCAUUGACGCUGAGGCGCGAAAGCCAGGGGAGCAAACGGG